CGUAGGGUCCGAGCGUUGUCCGGAAUUAUUGGGCGUAAAGGGCUCGUAGGCGGUUUGUCACGUCGGGCGUGAAAACUCAGGGCUCAACCCUGAGCGUGCGUCCGAUACGGGCAGACUAGAGGUAUGCAGGGGAGAACGGAAUUCCUGGUGUAGCGGUGGAAUGCGCAGAUAUCAGGAGGAACACCGGUGGCGAAGGCGGUUCUCUGGGCAUUACCUGACGCUGAGGAGCGAAAGCAUGGGGAGCGAACAGGAUUAGAUACCCUGGUAGUCCAUGCCGUAAACGUUGGGCGCUAGGUGUGGGGACCUUCCACGGUCUCCGUGCCGCAGCUAACGCAUUAAGCGCCCCGCCUGGGGAGUACGGCCGCAAGGCUA
rnacentral:rRNA from 1 species